GAUGAACGCUAGCUACAGGCUUAACACAUGCAAGUCGAGGGGCAGCAUGGAAGAAGCUUGCUUCUUCUGAUGGCGACCGGCGCACGGGUGCGUAACGCGUAUCAAACCUGCCUCAUACUCGGGGAUAGCCUUGCGAAAGUAAGAUUAAUACCCGAUGUUGUUAUGUUACCGCAUGGUGAUAUAACCAAAGAUUUAUCGGUAUGAGAUGGUGAUGCGUCCGAUUAGGUAGUAGGCGGGGUAACGGCCCACCUAGCCUUCGAUCGGUAGGGGUUCUGAGAGGAAGGUCCCCCACACUGGAACUGAGACACGGUCCAGACUCCUACGGGAGGCAGCAGUGAGGAAUAUUGGUCAAUGGACGGAAGUCUGAACCAGCCAAGUAGCGUGCAGGAUGACGGCCCUCCGGGUUGUAAACUGCUUUUAGUUGGGAAUAAAAAAGAGGACGUGUCCUCUAUUGUAUGUACCUUCAGAAAAAGGACCGGCUAAUUCCGUGCCAGCAGCCGCGGUAAUACGGAAGGUCCAGGCGUUAUCCGGAUUUAUUGGGUUUAAAGGGAGCGUAGGCGAAUUAUUAAGUCAGUGGUGAAAGACGGUGGCUCAACCAUCGUUAGCCAUUGAAACUGGUAGUCUUGAGUGCAGACAGGGAUGCUGGAACUCGUGGUGUAGCGGUGAAAUGCUUAGAUAUCACGAUGAACUCCGAUCGCGAAGGCAGGUGUCCGGGCUGCAACUGACGCUGAGGCUCGAAAGUGUGGGUAUCAAACAGG
rnacentral:rRNA from 1 species